rnacentral:rRNA from 1 species
UCAGGCCUAACACAUGCAAGUCGAGCGAGACCUUCGGGUCUAGCGGCGGACGGGUGAGUAACGCGUGGGAACGUGCCCUUUGGUUCGGAAUAGCCCCGGGAAACUGGGAGUAAUACCGGAUGAGCCCUACGGGGGAAAGAUUUAUCGCCGAAGGAUCGGCCCGCGUUGGAUUAGGUAGUUGGUGGGGUAAUGGCCUACCAAGCCGACGAUCCAUAGCUGGUUUGAGAGGAUGAUCAGCCACACUGGGACUGAGACACGGCCCAGACUCCUACGGGAGGCAGCAGUGGGGAAUCUUAGACAAUGGGGGAAACCCUGAUCUAGCCAUGCCGCGUGAGCGAAGGAGGCCUUAGGGUUGUAAAGCUCUUUCAGUGGGGAAGAUAAUGA